UACGAAGGGGGCUAGCGUUGCUCGGAAUGACUGGGCGUAAAGAGCGCGCAGGCGGUCGAUCAAGUCGAGUGUGAAAGCCCCCGGCUCAACUGGGGAGGGUCAUUCGAUACUGAUCGACUCGAAGGCAGGAGAGGGUAGUGGAAUUCCCGGUGUAGUGGUGAAAUGCGUAGAUAUCGGGAGGAACACCAGUGGCGAAGGCGACUACCUGGCCUGUUCUUGACGCUGAGGCGCGAAAGCUAGGGGAGCAAACGGG
rnacentral:rRNA from 1 species